UACGGAGGGUGCAAACGUUGCUCGGAAUCAUUGGGCGUAAAGCGCACGUAGGCGGCUCGUUAAGUCGGAUGUGAAAGCCCUGGGCUCAACCCAGGAAGUGCAUACGAAACUGGCGAGCUUGAGUAUGGAAGAGGGUCGCGGAAUUCCCGGUGUAGAGGUGAAAUUCGUAGAUAUCGGGAGGAACACCAGUGGCGAAGGCGGCGACCUGGGCCAAUACUGACGCUGAGGUGCGAAAGGCGUGGGGAGCAAACAGG
rnacentral:rRNA from 1 species